rnacentral:rRNA from 1 species
GAUGAACGCUGGCGGCGUGCCUAAUACAUGCAAGUCGAGCGAACGGACGAGAAGUUCGCUUCUCUGAUGUUAGCGGCGGACGGGUGAGUAACACGUGGAUAACCUACCUAUAAGACUGGGAUAACUUCGGGAAACCGGAGCUAAUACCGGAUGAUAUUUUGAACCGCAUGGUUCAAAAGAGAAAGAGGGUCUUGCUGACCCUAAGAGAUGGAUCCGCGCUGCAUUAGCUAGUUGGUAAGGUAACGGCUUACCAAGGCAACGAUGCAUAGCCGACCUGAGAGGGUGAUCGGCCACACUGGAACUGAGACACGGUCCAGACUCCUACGGGAGGCAGCAGUAGGGAAUCUUCCGCAAUGGGCGAAAGCCUGACGGAGCAACGCCGCGUGAGUGAUGAAGGUCUUCGGAUCGUAAAACUCUGUUAUUAGGGAAGAACAUAUGUGUAAGUAACUGUGCACAUCUUGACGGUACCUAAUCAGAAAGCCACGGCUAACUACGUG